AUGCGGAAUUUUAAAAGCCAGAAGGCUGCUCUGAGCCACCGGCCCUAGAACACAAAAACCGCCCCUUUUCCCUGGGAAAUAAAACUCACCAACCCUAGUUGAUGGUGUCAGUUUGCAGGAGGUACUUGGCACUCUCAAACCAGCCCAAGUUGGAACUGGUGCCAGCUUGGUCCUGGGAGGCAUCCUGCGAUAUGCGGAAUUUUAAAAGCCAGAAGGCUGCUCUGAGCCACAGCCCCUAGAACACAAAAACCGCCCCUUUUCCCUGGGAAAUAAAACUCACCAACCCUAGUUGAUGGUGUCAGUUUGCAGGAGGUACUUGGCACUCUCAAACCAGCCCAAGUUGGCACUGGUGCCAGCUUGGUCCUGGGAGGCAUCCUGCGAUAUGCGGAAUUUUAAAAGCCAGAAGGCUGCUCUGAGCCACAGCCCCCUAGAACACAAAAAACCGCCCCUUUUCCCUGGGAAAUAAAACUCACCAACCCUAGUUGAUGGUGUCAGUUUUCAGGAGGUACUUGGCACUCUCAAACCAGCCCAAGUUGGCACUGGUGCCAGCUUGGUCCUGGGAGGCAUCCUGCGAUAUGCGGAAUUUUAAAAGCCAGAAGGCUGCUCUGAGCCACAGCCCCUAGAACACAAAAACCGCCCCUUUUCCCUGGGAAAUAAAACUCACCAACCCUAGUUGAUGGUGUCAGUUUGCAGGAGGUACUUGGCACUCUCAAACCAGCCCAAGUUGGCACUGGUGCCAGCUUGGUCCUGGGAGGCAUCCUGCGAUAUGCGGAAUUUUAAAAGCCAGAAGGCUGCUCUGAGCCACCGCCCCUAGAACACAAAAACCGCCCCUUUUCCCUGGGAAAUAAAACUCACCAACCCUAGUUGAUGGUGUCAGUUUGCAGGAGGUACUUGGCACUCUCAAACCAGCCCAAGUUGGCACUGGUGCCAGCUUGGUCCUGGGAGGCAUCCUGCGAUAUGCGGAAUUUUAAAAGCCAGAAGGCUGCUCUGAGCCACCGGCCCUGGAACAAAAAACCGCCCCUUUUCCCAGUUUUCAGGAGGUACUUGGCACUCUCAAACCAGCCCAAGUUGGCACUGGUGCCAGCUUGGUCCUGGGAGGCAUCCUGCGAUAUGCGGAAUUUUAGGAGCCAGAAGGCUGCUCUGAGCCACCGGCCCUGCAACACAAACGCUGCCCCUUUUCCCAGUUUUCAGGAGGUACUUGGCACUCUCAAACCAGCCCAAGUUGGCACUGGUGCCAGCUUGGUCCUGGGAGGCAUCCUGCGAUAUGCGGAAUUUUAAAAGCCAGAAGGCUGCUCUGAGCCACAGCCCCUAGAACACAAAAACCGCCCCUUUUCCCUGGGAAAUAAAACUCACCAACCCUAGUUGAUGGUGUCAGUUUGCAGGAGGUACUUGGCACUCUCAAACCAGCCCAAGUUGGCACUGGUGCCAGCUUGGUCCUGGGAGGCAUCCUGCGAUAUGCGGAAUUUUAAAAGCCAGAAGGCUGCUCUGAGCCACAGCCCCUAGAACACAAAAACCGCCCA